GGCUGGGUACAGUAUACUUUAUUGACUGUACAUGACAAGGUAGGUCUCCCCAAGUCCCUCCCCUUCUUCAGAGGAUCUAGGAUGGAAACUGUAGAGGUUGGGAGAUUAUCAGCGUGUUGGGGGAUGAGUUGGGGUAAGGAGUCCCCAGCAACUGAAGGCCUCUCUCUUCCUCUUGCUCUCACUGGGGCUGGUGGUCCAGGGGGCUCUUACUCCUUGGAGGCUCUGGGGACCAUAAUGUUGCUGUAGCCAAAUUCAUUGUCAUACUAGGAAAUGAGCCUGACAAAGUGGUCAUUGAAAGCAAUGCCAGCCCCAACAUCACAGGUGGAGGAGUAGGUGUCUCUGUUAAAGUUGCAGCAGACAAUCUGGUCCUCAGUGUAGCCCAGGAUGCCCUUGAGGGGACCCUCUGACAACUGCUUUGUCACCUCUUUGAUAUCACCAUGUUGGGCAGCUUUCUCCAGGCAGCAGGU
rnacentral:lncRNA from 1 species